rnacentral:rRNA from 1 species
AACGAACGCUGGCGGCGUGGAUAAGACAUGCAAGUCGGACGGGAUUACUUUUGGUAGCAAUACCGAAAGUGAUUCAGUGGCGAACGGGUGCGUAACACGUGGGCAAUCUACCGAGAAGUGGGGGAUAGCUCGCCGAAAGGCGAAUUAAUACCGCAUGUGAUCAGAGGCGACAUCGCUUCGAAAUCAAAGGUGGCGCAAGCUACCGCUUUUUGUGGAGCCCGCGGCCUAUCAGCUUGUUGGUGGGGUAACGGCUCCCCAAGGCUUUGAGGGGUAGCUGGUCUGAGAGGAGGACCAGCAAAACGGGGACGGAGACACGGCCAAGAAACCUAGGGGAGGCAGCAGUAGGGAAUUUUUAGAAAGGGGGGAAACCCUGAAGGAGCGAGGCCGCGGGGGGGAUGAAGGUUUUCGGGUUGUAAACCCCUGUCAUGGGGGAAAAAGGCACGGAGGAGUAACUGUGCGGAAGUGGACAGUACAAAAAGAGAAAGAGACGGCUAACUCUGUG